rnacentral:rRNA from 1 species
UACGUAGGGCGCAAGCGUUAUCCGGAAUUAUUGGGCGUAAAGAGCUCGUAGGCGGUUUGUCGCGUCUGCCGUGAAAUCCCGGGGCUCAACCCCGGGUCUGCAGUGGGUACGGGCAGACUAGAGUGAGGUAGGGGAGAGUGGAAUUCCUGGUGUAGCGGUGAAAUGCGCAGAUAUCAGGAGGAACACCGAUGGCGAAGGCAGGUCUCUGGGCAGUAACUGACGCUGAGGAGCGAAAGCAUGGGGAGCGAACAGG